CUUCCAGCAAAGCACUGUUGCUGAGGCCUCUUCAUUUAGAAAUUCCCACAUUCCUUUUUAGAUAUUUGUUCUCUGGCCAGCUUACCCCACUAGGUCCUUUCAUCCCAACUGGAGAGAAAUGGUAAAAUGGGACUGUGCUGGACUCUGGAAGCAGGAGUCCCUUCCACACCCCAGCAACGGACUCCCUUGGCUCCUCACUGCCCUGCUGCUGCUCAUCAGGGGGUGGGGGCGAGUGAAACAAGGCCACAGAACGGAUGGAGCCCAGAUGCACCCCAAAGGCUCACCUCCUGCCCGUGCCCGAACCCGCCCAUCACUGGUGCUAAUGAGACCAGACAUGCAGAUUCUUGGGACCCAGCGGUAGCAGUCACCAGGGAAGAGCAAAGGACUGUUCUCCUCAUUUCGCUAUUGCAGGAGUUCAGGGAACUGCAGAGAUUCCUCCGGGGCCAGGUGAAAGGAGGAGACGGAUGCAGGCUCACCGCACGUGCGUACAAAAUGGACCCAUAUGUGGGCAUCCACGCGUGUGCGUGGAUCUGCAUGUCGCUGCGGAACUGCAUAUACACGCAAAGAGCCCGUUCUGAGAUGCUUGUUGGUCCCUGCUGCAAGCUCAGAUCCUGACACUACUCACACCCUCGUUUCCAGUGAGCAGGGAGGAGGCUUGUAUACAAGGCGAGGGGAGGAUAUAAUAUUCUCAGAACUCUGCCCUCCUCAUUAAAGCAUACAGUUACCUUAGCAGGCUUCAAGAAUGUUCAUUCAUUUUAAUAGGUUGUGGCUGGAUGACUUUUAGAAGUGGGCCUUUAUCAUCAGGAAAAUACUUAUUAAACGUCGUUAGCCUAAAGGGAAGCAGUUUAAAUCUGUGAAAUCUUUGGUAUUUGGGGUGGGAUGGCAAUAGUAUUGCUUUUCAGAAUUUUGAAUAUGUAUUGUAUAUAUCUCCGUGUUAUUGUAAAUUAUUAUUCCACAACUAAUUAAACCACACUAAGCCUUGUGUGUGACAAGCAAUUUGGAAAUCAACUGUUCCUGAACGGGCAAGUACGACAUCAAAAAUGUAGCUACUCUAAGAUACACGGUUUAAGUCUUUCCUCAGAAAGUCAUUCUACAACUAUCAGGGUGUUUUAAACGGCUUCUGUGGUUAUAAAUAGGAAUCCUGCAGACCUUCCCACUUAAUAGUAUUUUUGGCAGAAUGAUGUUAAUUACUAAUGGUAACUCAUUUGUUCCAGCUAAUGGAAGCAUGCAUUAUUUUCAAAAUUAAAAUGCAGUGUAACACACAGUUAAUGCAUAUUGGGUGCUAUGUAACAAAGUGAACCCUUGCCCUGUUCCUGGCACUGUCACUGUGUGGCUGCCUGUAGGUAUUCAGUAAGUAUUUAUUGAAUAAAUUAAUAAACUGACUCUCCUGACAACAAGAAAGUGUUUUCACGUAUGAAAUGUGUCCAAGGUCCAGAAAUCACAGUCUUUUGGUCUCUGCUUAAGCGCAGCCCACAUACCACACCCUGGCAUGGUCACACCCUCAUAGAGUGUUUGAGGCUGGUAUAAGGGCAGCUGUUUUGGUGGCUGCCUCAAUUCCCAUGCCACCCUGUCACUUGCCAGCUCUGGAAACCUAGGCAAGAUGCUUGACCUCUUUCUGGUUUAGUUCAUCUCCAGCAGAACUGACAGAUUCUAGAGUCCACUCUGCAAGGUUGACAUGAGAAUUAAAUGAUCCUCAUUUCACUGUGUCUGGCGUGUGAGGACCAGCUCUACAGUAUUUCAGACCUGCAAAAAUUGACUUCUAAGCAUAAAUAUAUCUAACUUACUUUAAAUAACUCAUUUUGUUUCAACAUCUACUACCAGUCUCUUCCUUCUCACUGUAUUACCUACAAAAUGCUACUAGGUUUAUCCAUAUUUCUGCAAUUGUGCACAUUUUUAUAGACUUUGCGUACAUUCUAUCUGCUCUUUUAGAUCUUAUCUCAGAAUAAGAUUUUCUUUUUUACUUCAGAAUUCUGAUAUCCCCAUUAUUUGUCCAUUAAUGAUUGUCAAAGGGUGGUGCUGACUGAUUCAUUCAUGGUUGGCUAACCAUCUCAGGCCAAAAAUUUAAAGGUAAUAUUAAAUUUUAGCUUACAUUAAAAGGGCACAAACACUAAAUUCUCCUUCCGUGAAUAUUUAAACAGACUGGAUAUUCACAGAAAUGUUUGAAGGUGGAUGACAGAGCAUGAGCUUUAUGCCCUUAGGAUGUUUACUUUGCCUUCCUAAACCCAAGCUUCCUCCAUGGUAAAAUAAUUUUUCUGACCCCUCCUUAAUUUUAGUAGUUACAUGAGAAUACAUAAACUACUUGGUCAAUAGAAGUUACUUAUUUAGUGUAUUUCUUCUAUUUAUUUUCUACUGACUCAUUUAUUUCCCAAAAUACAUCUUUUCAAUUGUAAAUGAUUCUUGGAAAUCCUGCCUUAAUUUGUAUUCAAAUUUAUGAGUCUUUCUAGAUUAAAAACCGUAUUAUUGAUUGAAUCUACUUGAAUAAAGGUUAAUUCUUUAUCUAGUUUAAUUCGUAAACAGAUUAUUGUGACUUCCAUUGUAUUAUAGGGAUCAGCCUUUCUUAACCAAACACUGUCCUGUCCUUCAAACUCUCCCAUCUCAGCUCCUACUAUUGUGGAUAAAAUAAGUGAAAUAAAUGUAUGCUUGUAUUUUCCAGCUUUUAGUAUUUCUUAUUAUAUUUGGGUACUCAUGGUUUACCCACUCAUACCCCCACUAUGUAUCUCCAUGGUAAAUUACUGAGACAUGGUAAAAUACUGGGGAACUCUGAUUAAUUACAAUACUUCUCUUCACACAAAUACUAUGAGCUCUAGAAAGAAUUAGUUAGGUACUAGACCAG
rnacentral:lncRNA from 1 species